GAUACCGCCCUGACUGUAUUGAAAUUCUAACCUACGGGUCUUAUCGACCCGGGAGACAGUGUCAGGUGGGCAGUUUGACUGGGGCGGUCGCCUCCUAAAGUGUAACGGAGGCGCCCAAAGGUUCCCUCAGAAUGGUUGGAAAUCAUUCGUAGAGUGCAAAGGCAUAAGGGAGCUUGACUGCGAGACCUACAAGUCGAGCAGGGACGAAAGUCGGGCUUAGUGAUCCGGUGGUUCCGCAUGGAAGGGCCAUCGCUCAACGGAUAAAAGCUACCCCGGGGAUAACAGG
rnacentral:rRNA from 1 species